CCUACGGGUGGCUGCAGUGGGGAAUAUUGGACAAUGGGGGGAACCCUGAUCCAGCCAUGCCGCGUGUGUGAAGAAGGCCCUCGGGUUGUAAAGCACUUUCAGUGAGGAAGAACGCCUGGUGGUUAAUACCCAUCAGGAAAGACAUCACUCACAGAAGAAGCACCGGCUAACUCCGUGCCAGCAGCCGCGGUAAUACGGAGGGUGCGAGCGUUAAUCGGAAUUACUGGGCGUAAAGCGCGCGUAGGUGGCUUGAUAAGCCGGUUGUGAAAGCCCCGGGCUCAACCUGAACGGCAUCCGGAACUGUCAAGCUAGAGUGCAGGAGAGGAAGGUAGAAUUCCCGGUGUAGCGGUGAAAUGCGUAGAGAUCGGGAGGAAUACCAGUGGCGAAGGCGGCCUUCUGGACUGACACUGACACUGAGGUGCGAAAGCGUGGGUAGCAAACAGGAUUAGAUACCCUUGUAGUC
rnacentral:rRNA from 1 species